GAUGAAGAACGUAGCGAAAUGCGAUAAGUAAUGUGAAUUGCAGAAUUCAGUGAAUCAUCGAAUCUUUGAACGCACAUUGCGCCCGCCAGUAUUCUGGCGGGCAUGCCUGUUCGAGCGUCAUUUCAACCAUCAAGCCCCCGGGCUUGUGUUGGGGACCUGCGGCUGCCGCAGGCCCUGAAAAGCAGUGGCGGGCUCGCUGUUACACCGAGCGUAGUAGAUUUUAUCUCGCUCAGGGCGUGCUGCGGGUUCCGGCCGUUAAACCACCUUCAUAACCCAAGGUUGACCUCGGAUCAGGUAGGAAGACCCGCUGAACUUAAGCAUAUCAAUAAGCGGAGGA
rnacentral:misc_RNA from 1 species